GUUAGAAUUGUUUCAUAUGAGAGGUAGUAUAUGGUUUAGAAUUCAAUACAAGGUGUAGUUUUAGGAACACAACUAAUGUCUUCUUAGAAAUCGGAAAAAUCAUCAUGGAAUGUUUAAGGCAUUGUAGGUUCUCUUGAUAAAAUUUUCCAUAGAGCUUCAUUCACUUUGUGUACUUAAGUAGUCGUAGAACAUUCAGAUCCAAGCAGCUCCAAAAGUGGAAA
rnacentral:misc_RNA from 1 species